rnacentral:lncRNA from 1 species
AUAGGCAGAGAGAGAAGCAGGCUCCAUGCAGGGAGCCUGGUGUGGGAAUCGAUCCUGGGACUACAGGAUCAUGCCCUGGGCUGAAGCCAGGCACUAAACCGCUGAACCACCCAGGUGUCCCUCAGGUCAGCUUAUAUAGCACUUCUUCGCAGUCUUCCCUGGUCCUCCAGACCAGGUUAGAUCUCCAUUGCUCUCUAUAUUCUUCUCUACAGCGUUUCACUUACAUGAACUACUUGUUUAAGAUCUAUCCUCCCUACAGACUGUAAACUCCAUGAGGGCAAAGAAUGUAUCUCCUUGGUUGCCUGCUUGAUAUCUAUUGUCAAGCACAGUACCUGGCAUGUACUUGAUAUUCAACAGAUGUUUGCUGAAUGAAUAAUCUUGCUUUCACAUCCUAUCCUGGGGCAGCUGAAGUUUGGGAUCCAAGUACAGGAAUUUGCAUUUAUUAAAUUUCACAUUAGACCAUCCCAGAUAUUAGUAUUCUAAUAAAUCUCAAUCUUUCUAAUAUUUAGAGCACCUACUGUUUACCCUGAAUGUACCUGAUGUUGGGAAAUACAAAGAAACUAGCACAGUCUUAGCUCUAGGAGCUGAUAGUCUAGUUUGGGAGAUAGAUAAGAAAACUAGUAGUUCUAGGGGCACCUGGGUGCCUCAGUCAGUUGAGCAUCUGAAUCUUGGUUUUGGCUCAGGUCACGUUCUCAGGGUCGUGAUAUUGAGCCUCUCAUUAGGCUACACCCUUGGAAGGGAGUCUACUUGAGAUUUUCUCUCCCUCUCCCCUCCCCUGGCCCCCUGCUUACACUUUCUCUCUCUCUCUCUCAUAAAUAAAUAAAUAAAUAAAUAAAUAAAUAAAUAAAUAAGAAAACUAGUAGUUCUGGAGCUGUUGUUAUGCCCAGAGAAUGGAACUGCUAAAUCUGGCUGGGCAAGAGGGGUAGGGAAGGCUGAACUAAGAAAUAAUUUAAGAUGGACACGAGGCAGGGAGGACUUUUCAAGAAGAGGAGGCAAAUGUAUCUUGGCAUAGAGGCAAAUCCAGGACAUGUGAGGUCAAUACAUGGCAAGUAGUUCAGUUGACUCACGAGGGUCAGAAUAGGGACUUUUGUAGAUAGCUUCUUAUAAUCAUAUACACACGCCACAUUAUCUCGGACUUCAAAAUUUUCUUACCAUUCUUUUUUUCCAAUCUGAAGAAUGUCUUCUUGGCAGAAAAUAUGACAGAAAGUGGCUUCUGGUUAUGUCUCUGUUACUCCAUUUUUCAUACUAGCUAUGAGUUAUGUUUCUAAGAUAUGUAUCUGAUCAUAUCACCACCACCACCCUUCCUGAUUUAAAGCUUUCAGUGGUUACCAAUUACCCCUAGAAGUCAGAUUCUUUAUUAUGGCAAAUAAGGCUCUUGGUGCAAGCUUAUGAUUCCAAGCCCACUUUCUCCUCACAUGCAUCACGGGGAGCCACAGUGACUCUACUAACAUGUGCACUUGACUUCCAGCAUCAUUUAUUCUCUCUGAAUGGGGAGACAGGAGGGAUGUUGAAGAGGUCCAUGGCUUGGAUCUCUUACUACUUCCCAUGGAGCAUCCUGCUCCCAACACCAUGAUUCCCACUUGCCGAGUUAUUUAUAGUUCCCUGAAUGCUUUCUUUCUUUUGCCACUGGGCUUUUGCACAUGCUACUUCCUUUGCUUGGAACACCCUUUCCCUGGCUUUAAGUCAGGCUGGCACCUCCUUCCCCCAGUUUUCAGAAUGCAAGGGAGGUGUUACUUUCUCCAGAAAGUCUUCCUGCCUCCACUUCUGAAGUCCCACAGAACUAUGUGCUCACUUUUCUAAGGGCAAAACCACUCUGUUUUAAUCUGCUUUCUGAUCCCUUUCCCUUAUUUGACUUAUUUGACUUCAUCUGACUUACUGUCUUAUGUUAAGCAUGUAGCAUGGUACUAAACUUUGAAUAGACAUUUGUCGAUUAAAGAAUGAUCAUAUAAGUGAAUAAAUGAAUGGAUAAACUUCUCAUUGUUCCUGAAACACAUUCUUAUUGAUGACUGUGCCUUCUCUGCAGGUCAGUUCUGAAACUGAGCUCUUCAUUCCUCCCCACUUCUCCCCGCCCACCAGUGAAUCGCCUCCUCCUCUCCCCUGUCCACCUCAGUAAGUGGUACCUAUGCCCACUGGUUCAUAUCAGAAACUGAAGACUUUCUCAUGGUUCAUUUGUUCAUUCAACAUUUAUUGAACACCUACUUUGUGCCAGGCACUUUGCUAAACAGUGAGGACAUAGCCUCUGGCUUCACAGAGUUCCCUAUCCAGUCAGGACUAAGUUUCUGAGGGCUCUCCAUCCUGUCUCUGAAAAGAAUUCCAGGAAGACCACAUGCUGCCUGCCUAUCUAUGCUGGUUCUCACCCAUAGGAGGGCAGGAUGGUGGAGAGGAAAGUUCCAGGGCUUUGGCCUCAGGAAGAGGUGGGCUUAAAUCCAAGCUCUUCUUUACCCUGAAUCAGUUUCAUUUAAUAUUAUUUUUUAAAUGAAACAUAUAAUAUUUAAAAAUAUAAUAUCCAAAUAUAUGUAUAUAUAUACAUAUAUAUGUAUAUGUAUAUAUAUACAUAUAUAUAUAAUAUCAAUGCCUACUCAAUGCUUGCUGUUGUGCAAGGUGGCCAUGACUCAGUGGAGAACAAAUGAGACAUAGCACUGCCUGCACAGAAUUUAGGCUUAGUGGAGGAGACAGAUAUUAAACACAUAAACAAACAUAUCACUAGAAUUCAUCAUAAACACUUAAAGACAAAGAUAAUAAAUAGAAAAAAUCAGAGGUAUUUUUAUUAGAUUGAGAAGAGUUCUCUGGGGGAAAUGGCAUUUAAGCUAAGAUCUGAAGCAUAAGGACCCAGCUAUGUGAAGAGGUGGGUGGGAUGCAAAGACCCUUAAAGUGAGGGAAGAGUCUGGGCAGACAGGGAGCCCGUCUUGCCAGGUUAGGGAUGAUGAGCUGACUCUAGGGGCCAUGCAUGUUAAAGAGAUUUCUGGGUUGCCGGGCUAGAGAGUCUGGAUUGGGAGGUGGCAAGAAUGGAAGAAAGAUAUCAAGGAAGACUAUUUCUGCAGUAACAGAUGAUAGGAGAUGAUGGCCUGAUUGGGAGUGGUGGAGCUAAGCGGGGUAGAAACGCAUGCAUUUGAGAGAAGUUUUAGAUGCAGCAUGGUCAGGAUGGAGUGAUGCAUCGAAUGUGGGGCUGAGCAAGAGGGAAAGGUCAAGAGUGGCUCUAGUUUCUUGUACAAGCAAGUGGCUAGGGAGAUGGCAUGGGAAGAGUGGAGAAGGAGCAGAUUUGAGGGGGUGAGUUAUUGGCAGCAUCUGGACAGGUAAGUUGGAGUGUCUGUCAGAGAUCCAAGUGGUGGUAGUAAACAGCAGGUGGGGGCUUCAAAGAAGGGUCGAGGUAAACUUGGAGAGGGAAGGGGGGGAGGGAGGUGGGCGGGAGAGGACGGAAGAGCGAGGAAGGAUGAAGAAAUUCAUUCAUCUCUCUGAACCACAUCUUCUUCACUUCUAAAGUGGGAGCAAUAACAUGAAAUGAGAUCAUGUAAAGCCUCCUGGCAUAUAACAGGCACUCAGUGAAUGCUGCUUUCCUUCCUUUUUCUUCCUCUUUCCCUUUAAUUUAUGCCCACCUUCCUUCCUCCCUUCUUUUUUUGAAGAUUUUAUUUAUUUAUUCAUGAGAGACAUAGAGAGAGAGGCAGAGACACAAGCAGAGGGAGAAGCAGGCUCGCUGUGGGGAGCCUGAUGCGGGACUCGAUCCCAGGACCCCAGGAUCACGCCCUGAGCCAAAGGCAGAUGCUCACCCACCAAGCCGCCCAGGCGCCCCCAUCUUCCUUUCCCUUAGUGGCUCUUUGAGCCCCUUUCCUUUCUCACUGUCCCUAUACCUUGUGCACAAUUGUCACAAAAAUGAGGAGUGAGCUUCUUAGAAAUGGCUAAGGAACUCAGGGCCAGGAUUAGUUGACUUAAAAUUCAUGCUUUCAACAAUUACUCUGCCUUCUGCUUGGAACACUCUUCUUUUGCUCUUCGGCUGCUUAUCACACUUGUGUUCUCCCUAAAGCAUCAUUCCCAGUUUUGCCAGCUCUGUGACGCUUUCCCGAGGUCUCUAGCUGACUUAGGUGCUUGCUUCUGGGUGGUGCUGCAACUUGUUCAUACAUCUAUCUUGGCACCUAUCAUAGCACAUUGAAAUGAACUCUUUAGCUGGGCUGUCUCCUCCGUGAACUAUGAAUUCCUUGAAGCAGGAACUAUUUUUAAAUCUCUCCAUCUCCAGCAUUUAAGUUAGAGUAGGCAGUCUAUUAAAAAAUGUCGCAUGACCUCCAAGGCUCUGAGAUCCCAUAAUUUGAAGCAAAAAGUUUAGAUGAGUGAAAAAGCAAGCACCACCCACAGCUCCUUUGAUAUCUUUUUAGGAGGGUGUAUGCUAUAACAGCUAAGAUCACGUCCAAGGGAAUCAGGCUGGAAGGUUUUAGCAUCUUGUCUUCAGAUCAACACGCUGCAUUGACUGGCAAGCCAAGUGGUACCCAGAGGCACCUGCAGCCAAGUCAUCAUUCCAGAUCCCAGUGAAAGGACUGUAUUUUAGGAAAAUGUCUGUAAUUUACAAUUUUAAUAUUCCUACACCGAGGUAAUAUAGGAGGACAAGGUUAUCAUCUCUGUGCUAAAUGCCAAAAAGAAGGAAAAUUCUGUAAGCUGCAGCUGUUCCCCUAGACUCUGGGAGCGUCUACAGAGCUUGGAGAACCCUGAGGUUGCCAAGAGAGCCUUCUCAUAUUUUGUGAUUUUCCUUCAGGGAAUGCCAGCCAUUUUUUUUUCCUUUACUCACACUCUCGAUUCAGCAUAUAAAGGGAAAAUAAAAGGGAAGUGACUUAAACAGUAGGUCUGGAGGGCUUUGGCCAAGCAGAGUGGGCCUCCCAUAAAUAUUGGCACAAAUAAAUGAUUCUAAAACCCCAAAUGCCUCAGUUUUUCUUUUAGAAUCUGUAUUCUGAGCGUAGACAAUCACUUUGUCCUCUCUCCUCCUAGAGAAAUCUUAUGAAUCAUUUAUAUCACUUGUUAUCACUGUACCUAAUUCCAUACUGACC